AUCGUCUCCGCCACCAUUGGUGGGGGUGGCGCUAUUGCUAUCGCCUCUUCAAUUCCGGUACCAUCUCCCAACCUCCAAUCCCUCCUGCCGGGGAUGGUCUUUCAGCUCCUCCAACUACUUUCCAUUUCAUUAAAGAGUAAAACUAUCAUAAUGAAUGGCCCUUUCCUCUUGUUCUGUUUUGAAACCAUGGAAUCCUUGUUCAGCAAUGAUGGUGCGAAACAUAUGGAACCUCAUUCAUAUGCCGAACAAAGAUUUCUAAUAUUUUAUAAAGCAGAUCGACAGAAGAUUUCUACCGUCAUCAACCAGAAAACUGCAUAUGUUGUUCUUCACUACAAUCCAACUAAUUCUUCUCUUUGUCAUUACUCUUCCUCCCUCUCUGAACAACCUUCUGGUCUCUGCAAACCCUCCCAUUCACUUCUGCCAUCAUAUCUUUUUGAGGACACGAUAUAAAUCUUUGCUCCCUUUUGGCUUCAAAUAUAUUAUCUUUUGAACAUGCUGUUGCAACCUUGGAGGAGGGAGAGGAGGAUGGUGGCCCGACACAUGCAGGGUAGUUGUUGUGGUGGAGCUGCUCGACGGUGAGACUAGGAUCAAAACAAGCCAUGCUUUGAUAUGAUGACGGAACGGUUCGGGUUGUAUCUUUAGCGCGAAGAAUGAUCGAGCUUCUUUGCAACGCCACCCGUCGGUGGCGCUCCACACAGCUCUCAAAGCACCCCAAAUUUAUCCUCUCAUUCAUCUGUGCAGAUCGCAAAGCAACCAUUGCGUGAGCCAAUGGUGGAUUCGUACGAAGGAUGGUGAAUCAUAUUCUUUAUAUUCUUAAUGAAAGAUAUAACCGUCCCUUAGGGAACAAUGCAAUGCACAACUUCUUUGUAGGCUACUUGAUACUUUUAUCCUUUGAUCGAGUGUAAAGUAAAAUCAAUCCCGCCAAUGGGGAACAAAGUCACGGUGUCUCUGAUCUAAAUACCGCACAACCAGGCAUUUUUUUAA